CGAUUUUCCGCGAAAAGUACGUAAAUUAAAUAACUGAAAAUUUUCGCGUGGCUUCGCCUCCGCCUAGCGAAUCGACACAACAAAUCCAAGUCCCAGAAGGGGGCACACCGCCAGCUGCCGCCUUCGAAAGAAAAAUGAGUCGAUUACGGCCGGAAAUUCACCCCUUGCUUACGGAGGAUAUCGUCAAGGCUCUACAAGGGAGGAAAGUGUGGACGGUAAUAGACUUUAUUAAAUUGGACACGCAGGAGAUUAAUAAAAUUGCACGACUCAAUUUCAGAGAAGUGCGAGCAGUAAAAAAUUAUCUCCUGAAAAAGUUUUCAGCCACUCCUCUAAACGGAUUUGAUUUUUAUAAAAAUGUUCUCAAAAAUACUGCCAUUAUCCCAACAGAAAUCAAAGGGGUGGACCAAUUGCUAAACGGGGGAUUAUUUACUGGAAAUAUUUACGAGUUAUGUGGGCCCCCAACUUCCGGCAAAAGCUAUUUUGUUUUAAAUUUAAUAAAAAAUGUCAUCUUGAAUAUGAAUCAAAAUGUUUACAUUUUCGACAACAAGAACGACUUUUCGGCCAGAAAAAUAAAGAAAAUGUUGAAAAACUGUGAUGAGGACCGACAGAUUAGAAGCUUGAGCAAGAUAAUAGUAAAUCGCUCUUACACCAAAUACGAUUUAAUCAACAGUUUAUACGAAAUAAAAAACGAUUUAGAAAAUAAUAUGAAACUUCGGUUGAUUAUCAUCGAUUCUCUGCCUAGCAUUCUUUUAAAUUCAAACGACUAUGUAACAAAUAAUUCAUAUCUCAAUCAUAUAGUAAACAUUAUGAGAUAUAUUGCAAAUGAACAUCAUAUUGCAUUUUUGGUCACGAAUUUAAUAACAAAAUUUAUUGAUGGUGGAUUCAAUAAGAGUCAACAAGAAAAUUCCGAAAUUAUUAGUUGUGGAAAAUACUGGUCCAAUGUCCCCAACACUCGCCUCAAAAUUGAAAAAACCGAAAACUCAAGAGGAUUUAAAAUUUCCGUUUUAAGUAGUGACACCUUGAACAAAAAAAUGGAUAAUUGUGUGGACGUUAUGCUUACAGAUGAGGGAUUUUUGUGAUGUGCAAAGUGGAAAUCGCUUUUAAUUAAAGUUUAAUUACGUUUGUAACAAGUGGAAUCGACAUUUCUGUUUUAAACUUGCCCAUCUGAUGGCUGACUAGUAUUAUUAUUUUUGGCCUUAAGAUUUAGAGAAAAAAACACUCUUUGCCCCGCCCCCCUUAAUGUCAUUUCGUCAUGU